AUGCAGGUACUGUUACAAUGUAACUGAAGUGUUUUAUUGUCACUCCCCCUGCUUAAAGUAUUUUAUAUAUAACUAUUUCUAACUCCAUUCCAUAGUAAGACAGAGAUGCUUGGUAUCAAACAU
rnacentral:snoRNA from 1 species